rnacentral:rRNA from 1 species
CCUACGGGGGGCAGCAGUGAGGAAUAUUGGACAAUGGUCGGGAGACUGAUCCAGCCAUGCCGCGUGCAGGAUGACUGCCCUAUGGGUUGUAAACUGCUUUUUUACGGGAAGAAACCUCCCCUCGUGAGGGGAUUUGACGGUACCGUACGAAUAAGGACCGGCUAACUCCGUGCCAGCAGCCGCGGUAAUACGGAGGGUCCGAGCGUUAUCCGGAAUCAUUGGGUUUAAAGGGUCCGUAGGCGGGCCUAUAAGUCAGAGGUGAAAGGCCACGGCUCAACCGUGGGACUGCCUUUGAUACUGUAGGUCUUGAGUUAUAGUGGGGUUGCCGGAACAUGUGGUGUAGCGGUGAAAUGCAUAGAUAUCACAUAGAACACCUAUCGCGAAGGCAGGUGGCCAACUAUAUACUGACGCUGAUGGACGAAAGCGUGGGGAGCGAACGGGAUUAGAUACCCCGGUAGUCCACGCCGUAAACGAUGGAUACUAGCUGUGGGGCUCCGGCUCCGUGGCCAAGCGAAAGUGAUAAGUAUCCCACCUGGGGAGUACGUUCGCAAGAAUGAAACUCAAAGGAAUUGACGGGGGCCCGCACAAGCGGUGGAGCAUGUGGUUUAAUUCGAUGAUACGCGAGGAACCUUACCAGGGCUUAAAUGCAGGCUGCAUGGGGCAGAGACGCCCCUUUCUUCGGACCGCCUGCAAGGUGCUGCAUGGUUGUCGUCAGCUCGUGCCGUGAGGUGUCAGGUUAAGUCCUAUAACGAGCGCAACCCCUGCCGUUAGUUGCCAGCAUGUAAAGAUGGGGACUCUAACGGGACUGCCGGUGCAAACCGUGAGGAAGGUGGGGACGACGUCAAAUCAUCACGGCCCUUACGUCCUGGGCCACACACGUGCUACAAUGGCCGGUACAGAGGGAAGCCACCCCGCAAGGGGGCGCGGAUCUACAAAGCCGGUCACAGUUCGGAUCGGGGUCUGCAACUCGACCCCGUGAAGCUGGAAUCGCUAGUAAUCGCAUAUCAGCCAUGAUGCGGUGAAUACGUUCCCGGGCCUUGUACACACCGCCCGUC